GACGAACGCUGGCGGCGUGCCUAAUACAUGCAAGUCGAACGAAGAGCGAUGGAAGCUUGCUUCUAUCAAUUUUAGUGGCGCACGGGUGAGUAACGCGUAAUCAACCUGCCCUUCAGAGGGGGACAACAGUGGGAAACGACUGCUAAUACCGCAAACGAUUUAAUCUCGGCAUUGAGGAGAGAUGAAAGGUGGCCUCUACAUGUAAGCUAUCACUCAAGGAGGGGAUUGCGGCUGAUUAGCUAGUUGGUGGGGAAAGGGACCACCAAGGCGAUGACCAGUAGCCGGUCUGAGAGGGUGGACGGGCACCUUGGGACUGGGGCACGGCCCAGGCUCCUACGGGAGGCAGCAGUGGGGGAUCUUCCGCAAUGGACGGAAGGCUGACGGGGCAACGCCGCGUGAGUGAUGACGGGCUUCGGGUUGUAAAGCUCUGUUUAUCGGGAAGAAAGGCCUUCUUGCGAAUAGUGGGACGGAUUGACGGUACCGGAACAGAAAGCCACGGCUAACUACGUG
rnacentral:rRNA from 1 species